GAUGAACGCUGGCGGCGUGCCUAAUACAUGCAAGUCGAGCGAACAGACGAGGAGCUUGCUCCUCUGACGUUAGCGGCGGACGGGUGAGUAACACGUGGAUAACCUACCUAUAAGACUGGGAUAACUUCGGGAAACCGGAGCUAAUACCGGAUAAUAUAUUGAACCGCAUGGUUCAAUAGUGAAAGACGGUUUUGCUGUCACUUAUAGAUGGAUCCGCGCCGCAUUAGCUAGUUGGUAAGGUAACGGCUUACCAAGGCAACGAUGCGUAGCCGACCUGAGAGGGUGAUAGGCCACACUGGAACUGAGACACGGUCCAGACUCCUACGGGAGGCAGCAGUAGGGAAUCGUCCGCAAUGGGCGAAAGCCUGACGGAGCAACGCCGCGUGAGUGAUGAAGGUCUUCGGAUCGUAAAACUCUGUUAUUAGGGAAGAACAAAUGUGUAAGUAACUAUGCACGUCUUGACGGUACCUAGUCAGAAAGCCACGGCUAACUGCGUG
rnacentral:rRNA from 1 species